CUGUUUAGUUCACAUCAAUCUU
rnacentral:miRNA from 2 species